AUCCAGUUUUGGUGCACGGUUUACACUUAGCUCAUAAGAGGGCUGCGUCUGCCCUUCCGUCGCUGCAGAUCCUGCCCUGUUCACUUCUCUUGUCCCUGCAGAUGGACACUAG
ensembl:misc_RNA